ensembl:miRNA MIR1251 microRNA 1251
GUAGACUCUAGCUGACUAAGGCGCUUCUCUUUCUAAAAAGAGCGCUUUACUUAGCCAGUGUAGACAUGGC